GUAGUCCACGCUGUAAACGAUGUCGAUUUGGAGGUUGUGCCCUUGAGGCGUGGCUUCCGGAGCUAACGCGUUAAAUCGACCGCCUGGGGAGUACGGCCGCAAGGUUAAAACUCAAAUGAAUUGACGGGGGCCCGCACAAGCGGUGGAGCAUGUGGUUUAAUUCGAUGCAACGCGAAGAACCUUACCUACUCUUGACAUCCAGAGAACUUAGCAGAGAUGCUUUGGUGCCUUCGGGAACUCUGAGACAGGUGCUGCAUGGCUGUCGUCAGCUCGUGUUGUGAAAUGUUGGGUUAAGUCCCGCAACGAGCGCAACCCUUAUCCUUUGUUGCCAGCGGUUCGGCCGGGAACUCAAAGGAGACUGCCAGUGAUAAACUGGAGGAAGGUGGGGAUGACGUCAAGUCAUCAUGGCCCUUACGAGUAGGGCUACACACGUGCUACAAUGGCAUAUACAAAGAGAAGCGACCUCGCGAGAGCAAGCGGACCUCAUAAAGUAUGUCGUAGUCCGGAUUGGAGUCUGCAACUCGACUCCAUGAAGUCGGAAUCGCUAGUAAUCGUAGAUCAGAAUGCUACGGUGAAUACGUUCCCGGGCCUUGUACACACCGCCCGUCACACCAUGGGGAGUGGGUUGCAAAAGAAGUAGGUAGCUUAACCUUCGGGAGGGCGCUUACCACUUUGUGAUUC
rnacentral:rRNA from 1 species